CAACCCUCAGGCCCACCCUUCCGGGGGAGCGGGCCUGGUGCUGGGGAUCGGCGGCCCUCGCGGCCCCCGUCCCUCAAAUUCAGUGGCGGUCGCGCCGCAGCCUCCCCUGCGUAGUAGCACAACCUCGCACCGGAGAGCGGAACGACCACGCCGUGAAACCCCAACUUCUGAA
rnacentral:misc_RNA from 1 species